GAUCAAAAAAUUCGUUAAGUAAAGGUCAAAAAUAGUUUCUAUCUGUUUUUUUGCUGAGUCUAAAAAUUCUUUAUAGUGAGGUUGAAAAAAAAUUAUUCGUAAUACAAAGGUAUAUUUUACAUGAGCUCUUAUGGGCAGUGCUAAGGGAUUUUGAAAAAUUCGUUAUAUCAUGGAAUUCGUUAUAUUGAGGCUGGUACCGAGGUGAAAAAAGAGCACUGAAGUUUGCAGUGCCUCGAUUUUGGAGGAAACCAGGUUAUCAUCUUUGAAAUAUUUGAAUUUUUUCCAAAGCUUUCAGAGGCGAAAAUAAAUAUGGGAACUUUUUAUGCCGGUAGUCAGCGAGCAAUCUCUAGUCUCUAAUAGAGACUCAUCCAUGGCGAAAUCUAUUUAGAGACUGUUUGGUAUUCAGUCGAUAGUGUCUCAUCUCUAAUUGAGCAAUAUCAGUCUCUAAUUUGUUAUUUACGUUAAACCAGGUCACAAAAAAAAGAGCGAAAAAAUGGAGGAUGCAAUUGGGCUAAUAUAUAUCGUAAUGAAAAAACGAGACGAAGAAAACAAGUAAUACAUAAAUUCUUGUAAUUUUGCAAUAAUGAAUAACAAAGUGCUUAUAUCCUAUACCUCAUCCAACAACUGAAACCGUAGUUCAUUUUAGUUCUAUAUUUUUUACGCAAUGGCUCAUACCAGUGUUGCGUGUGUUGGAAAUGGAUAUUUCUCGGUGAUAAAUCUAGCGUUUCUCGUAGUAUUGAACAAAUUUGUAAAAGGUUGAUGAUACAAUAGAGUUAAGACUGGGUAAGUUGUUGUCCAAUUUAUGGCACAAACAGUCACCGACUCAAAACCGUGGACCGAAUCAGCUGAUACAA